rnacentral:rRNA from 1 species
GUGGGGAAUAUUGGACAAUGGGGGGAACCCUGAUCCAGCCAUGCCGCGUGGAGGAAGACUGCCCUCUGGGUUGUAAACUCCUUUUAUAUGGGAAGAACCGUCCUCAUUAAUGAGUGACCUGACGGUACCAUAGGAAUAAGCACCGGCUAACUCCGUGCCAGCAGCCGCGGUAAUACGGAGGGUGCAAGCGUUAUCCGGAUUCACUGGGUUUAAAGGGUGCGUAGGCGGAUAAAUAAGUCAGUGGUGAAAUCAACGGGCUCAACCUGUUACCUGCCAUUGAUACUGUGUAUCUUGAAUAUGAGAGAGGUAGGCGGAAUGUUGCAUGUAGCGGUGAAAUGCUUAGAUAUGCUACGGAACACCGAUUGCGAAGGCAGCUUACUAUUUCGUAAUUGACGCUGAGGCACGAAAGCGUGGGUAGCGAACAGGAUUAGAAACCCGAGUAGUCC